GUCUACAGCCAUACCACCCAGAAUGAACCCGAUCUCAUCUGGUCUCAGAAGCUAAGCAGAGUCGGGCCUGGUUAGUGCUUGGAUGGGAGAAAGAUUUUCACAGGAGCCUGCUCAGAGACAAGCAGUUUGGAGACA
rnacentral:rRNA from 1 species